AAUUAGCUUGUAACUUUAAAUUCCUUUUUCUAUUUUAUCUUUUUAUCUCACAGUUCAUUUUUUUAUCAUCAUUUCUUUAUCUUCUUAUCUUAGUAGCACGUGUAUGGUAGUUUUGUAAAAAAAUUUCUAAUACCUUUAACUUUUAUUUAGUACUAAUUAUUCUUAUUUUUCUUAUUUAUGUACUGAGACGCAAGCUGUCGAACAGGAACCCGCAGAGGUGUUCGAUUUAGCAAUCUCAGGGGCCAUGAAUAGAAUCAAUCACUGCAGGAGUACUCUCAGAGACGAACCAGGAGGGACUCUGGAAGAUACGAGAAUUGACCCUCCCCAUAAGUAGCUCACGCACUGAGACUGGUGGAGUCUCACAAGCUCUCCAACGUUAGCCGGACAAUCACGCUACCCACCAGCGGACGAGUGCAGCGAAGAGGGUGAGGCCUUUCUCCCAACCAACCGAAGCAGAAACACUUAAGUAUUCCAGUUGCAUAUGUAAUCUCAUAUAAUCGAGACUGUCACAGCCAAUUACAUUGAUUGUUUAUAAUUGUUAAUUAAAUAUAAGUCAUUAAUGAAAU